rnacentral:rRNA from 1 species
GACGGGGGGGGCAAGCGUUGUUCGGAAUUACUGGGCGUAAAGGGCUCGUGGGCGGCCAACUAAGUCAGACGUGAAAUCCCUCGGCUUAACCGGGGAACUGCAUCUGAUACUGGAUGGCUUGAGUUCGGGAGAGGGAUGCGGAAUUCCAGGUGUAGCGGUGAAAUGCGUAGAUAUCGGAAGGAACACCAGUGGCGAAGGCGGCUACCUGGCCUAAUACUGACACUGAGGCACGAAAGCGUGGGGAGCAAACAGG